rnacentral:rRNA from 1 species
UACGAAGGGGGCUAGCGUUGUUCGGAAUUACUGGGCGUAAAGGGCGCGCAGGCGGUCGUUCAAGUCAGGCGUGAAAGCCCCGGGUCAACCUGGGAAUAGCGCUUGAGACUGAGCGACUUGAGUUCGGGAGAGGAGAGCGGAAUUCCCAGUGUAGAGGUGAAAUUCGUAGAUAUUGGGAAGAACACCGGUGGCGAAGGCGGCUCUCUGGACCGAGACUGAC